rnacentral:rRNA from 1 species
GAAAAACAUGUUUAUUUGGAGUUAUAAAUGAUUUGGCCUGCCCCCUGAUCAUUAAUUAAAGGGCCGCAGUAUUAUAACUGUGCAAAGGUAGCAUAAUCAUUAGGUUUUUAAUUAGAAUCUUGUAUGAAUGGUCGGACAAAAGAAAAGCUCUCUUUAUAUUAAAUUUGAAUUUAACUUUUAAGUGAAAAGGCUUAAAUAUACUAAAGGGACGAUAAGACCCUAUAAAACUUUACAUUAUAAUUACAUUUUAGUAAAUUUAUGAAUAAAGAUUUAAUUUAAUUAUUUGUUAGGCUGGGGAGGCAUAAAUAAAUAUUAUUUAAACUGUUUAAAUAAUUAUACAUUAAUUGGUGGUAAGAAUAAAAGAUCCUUUAUUAAGAUUAAUAAAUUAAGUUACUUUAGGGAUAACAGCGUAAUUUCUUUCUAGAGUUCUUAUCGAAAAAGAAGAUUGCGACCUCGAUGUUGAAUUAAAAUAUUCUAUAUAGUGAAGAGGUUAUAUAAGAAGGUCUGUUCGACCUUUAAAAUUUUACAUGAUUUGAGUUCAAACCGGUGUGAGCCAGGUU